rnacentral:rRNA from 1 species
UACGUAGGGUGCAAGCGUUGUCCGGAAUUAUUGGGCGUAAAGAGCUCGUAGGCGGUUUGUCGCGUCGAAUGUGAAAACCCGGGGCUCAACUCCGGGCCUGCAUUCGAUACGGGCAGACUAGAGUUCGGUAGGGGAGUCUGGAAUUCCUGGUGUAGCGGUGAAAUGCGCAGAUAUUGGGAAGAACACCUGAGGCGAAGGCGGGUUGCUGGGCUGACACUGACGCUGAGGCGCGAAAGCCAGGGAGCGAACGGG